GUGGCAGAGGUAGAAAUAGCAGCUAUCAUAUCUUUGCGUGUCCAUGGUAGCUUUGUGAACCCUCAGCACCAAAUCAACUCCCUUUUCUUAGAAUUAGCAUUAAAUAAAUAAUAAGAUAAAUUAAGAUAAAAUCAAGAAAUAAACAACAUAAAUUAUAAUCAAAUCUAAACUUUAAAAAUGUACUAAAUAAAGAUAGAUAAAAACUACCAAAAUCUAGCAAAUCACAAUAAAAAAUCAUAAAAUUCUGAAUUAAAUAAAAAUAUGAAAGUUCAAUAAAAAUUAAUUAUUAUACUCUAUCAAUAAAUGUAAAAUAAAAUAAAAUAUUUCCCGGACUUAAAAUUAAAUAAAUAAUAAGAUAAAUUUAAGAAAUAAACAACCUAAAUCCUAAUCAAAUCUAAUAUUUAAAAUGGUACUAAAUAAAGAUAGAUAAAAACUACAAAAUCUAGAAAAUCAUAAUAAAAACUCAUAAAAUCCUGAAUUAAUUAAAUAUCCAAAAAAUCAAGAAAAAUUAAUUAAUAUACUCUAAAAAUAAAUCUAAAAUAAAAGAAAAUAUUUCCUGGAAUUAAAAUUAAAUAAAUAAUAAGAUAAAUUAAAAUAAAAUUAAGAAAUAAACAACCUAAAUCACAAUCAAAUAUAAUAUUAAAAAAGGUACUAAAUAAAAUAGAUAAAAACUAAAAAAAUCUAGCAAAUCACAAUAUAAACUCAUAAAAUCCUGAAUUAAUAAAAAAUCGAAAAAUUCAAUAAAAAUUAAUUAAUAUAUUCUAAAAAUAAAUUAAAAGACCAAAUCUUAUCUUUUAAAAUAAUAUGAAUCAAUUAUUUUAGAAUAUAUAAAAUUAAAACAUAUAUCAAUUGAAAAUUAUAUCUUCUAAAAUAAUAUCAAUUAAUUAGUUUAGAAUAUAUAAAAUUAAAACAUAUAUUAAUUGAAAAUUAUACCCUCUAACAAAUAGACACGUAUGAGAAUUAAUCUGGUGCUGACACGUCACUAUGAAAGUUCUUCUUUUCUAAUAUAUAUUGAUACCUAAGUAAUAUUAUAUUGUCUACAAGUCCUAUUAUGCAUUUGCAACUUUAAAGAAAAGUUUCUAGCAAGAAAUAUGACUAGCUUAUGCACUUUCAUGAAAAAUGUUUUUAAUAGGAUUUUUUUCCUGUGAAGAUGAUUUUUUACUUAUUGUUAUAUUUUUUUCUAAGGUAUCUCCACAGCUAACAGUUAUGAGACUAAUCCAUCGAGAUUCGAAGAUUACAGUGAGUGAGUAGAUCUAUCCCAACAAAUUAUUCUUCAUACGCACCGCUCAAAUAUCAACCAUAUACUAGAUUGCCAAUAUAUUAUAUUUCUGACACACUCCUUCACACAAGAGUUUACAUGACCUUGAAGUGUAGAUAUUACACUGAGACCUACUUACUUACCACAUUCUGAAAUUCAACCUUUAUAUUGUAAUAACGGGGCAGCAAAAAUUGAACUUUAAAUCACUUGAUCAUAAAGACUCUGAUACCAUAUUAUGAAUCAACCGAUUGUAAAAAAAAUUAAGUUAUUAUUAAAGGAUAUAUGAAUGAUUUAAUAUUUUUGAGUUGUUUUUUCCCUUUAAAAAAGUGAUGUGAUUUUAGAGUUUUCUAAAAAUGCCCAAAUAAAGAACCUCAACUCCAAAAAGAAGGUUAAGCAAAUUUGAAGAUGUUCAAAUGGUGACUUAUUGGAAGGGCAAUGUCGGUCAAAACAAGGCCACUGAGCGUCUCGAAGGCUCAAUAGACCUUUUCUGGUCAACACCCCCAACCCAAGAAGAAGCUUCCAUAGCAUUCUUUUUGUGCCGUGGCGACCCCAUUUAUUCUCCUCCAUUUUCCUUUCUCUCCAAGCACCACUCCUUCUCAUUUCCUCUAAACGUAAGGACCAUAAUCCCUCCAAGUUCGAGAAAUGUUGCGCUACCAUAUACUUGAUUCAACCCCCACUUUCCAAGACUCCCUCAAGGCACUCGAGGCUGACAUUCAACAUGCCAAUCUGCUGUGAGUUCUCUCCCUCUCUCUUGUAUUUUCUUGCUUUGACCUUAAUUGGGAAUACGGGUUCAUGGUGAACACAAUGUAAUUAGCAUUUUAAGGUAGUAAUAGUAUAGCUAGGAUUCAAUAUACAGGUUAUAGUGACCAAUGUGUGUAAGUAUUAUGUUUGUGUUUAGUGUAUAUUUGGUUUUACCAAGUAACCCCGGCUGACAGCCAUGAGACUAAUCCCAUCGAGGCUCUGAGAUCAAGUAAAUGAAUAGGCCUCUCCCAACAAAUUAUUCUCCAUACACAUUGUUGAGGGAUCGAACCCUUGACUAAAUGUUUAAGGAGUCCAGCUAUCUAUAACUGUGUUGGACCUUGUUUGUUGUGUUUAGUGUAUAUUAAAAGUGGAACAAAGUAUAACAGAUAACAUGGGAUAAGAUAAUACAAAAAAAGUAACACAUUUUUGGUUCCACUAAAGAGAAUAUACCAGAAGACUGUCAAAUGUUAGUGUGUAUUUAAAUCCUGUUUAUAGGUCACCUUUACAAUAUGAAUUUUCCAAAUAGUAGGUUGUUUUAAACUUUUUAUCCUUUUCCUCCUCUGCCAUUUGCAUUGCCCACUUUUUUUUAUCCUCUAACAGAUUAAGGAUAUAUAAUUUUCCUUUGUUACUUGUUUGAAACAUGUACCUAGCCUCAGUUAAAGUAAUUCCUCCAAGAUCAGAUGAUUCUACUAUCUUUACUUCUAGUUGAGUGCUUGUCGUUAUCUUUAUAAUUUCCCUUUCUUAUGGUAAAGCCUAGGGACCAGUAUCAUGCCUCUUACUCAUUUCUUACACCAACAAGGAAGAAUACUUCUGUAACCCUGUCACUCUAUGAUUGUUUAUUUAAUCCUUCCAAGUUAGUUUACUUGCAUAUAAUGGUCCUUGGAAUCAAAGGUAUAGCCUGAGAUUUGAGAUGCAUUUAUUAUUUCUUAUGAUGGUAAAAAUGCAUUGUUUCAGAUAUAAUAUAUUGGUUCAAAUUCGAAACUGUAUGCAGGGCUGCUUCUAUUUCAAGGGGCAAUGGAAGUGCUUGCCUUCAAAUGAAGUUAGUUUACAACAAAUUGGCACCCGUUUUUCUGUUUUUAUAUCAAUGGAUGGAUUUCUCAUGUUCAUGUCUACUUCCAAGCCACUUCAAUCUUUUCCGCGUAAUUGUGUAUAAGGUGUGUCUCUGCCUCUUAUUAUUUUCUAAUUGAAGUAUUAGCUUCGUCCUUUAAUUUCAUUAUUUUUAUUGAUCUCUCUGUUUUUUAUCUAUUAGAUUCACACCAAUGGGAAGCCAAAUACAUAUUCUUAUGGAAGGAAAGCAACCAUAAGGGAGUUCUAUGGUAAGUACUAGAAACCUUGCUUCCGCCUACAAUCUGCUAUGUUAUUGUACAGAAGGCUAUUUUGAUGCCUCAGAGCUUUUAAUAUAAUUCUAUUCAACUUUAUUCCCCUGCUUGACAUAGCUGGUGAUUUAAAUUCUUCAAAUAUUAUAUUGAUCAAAGGUGGCAAUUUGGAUUUUUUUUUUGUAAUCAAGGAGUAAGUUCAUCUAAUAGAGUUGUACUGUUUUUGCACUUAACUAGCCCGGAUUCAUUAAUCUACAAUUGAUUUGCAGGUGUUAUAUUACCUUCUCUUCAGCGUCUUCACGAUGAUUUAGUAGAUACUAACAUCAUGAAAGAAAAAGAUCGCAGCAUCGAGGUGGUUAUCGAUAGGAGUGCGGAUGAUAGGAGGAAGCCUUUUGAUUUGGACUCAGACAGAGAAAAUGAGUGUGGUAUCUGCUUAGAGUCUUGCACAAAAAUGGUCUUACCUAAUUGCUGCCAUGCUAUGUGUAAAAAUUGUUACAGUGACUGGUAAGAUCAUGCCCUCAGUUUUUCUUCUACUAUCAUGUAAAAACUAAAAACUAGUCAUUGGUAAUCUGAAAAUGGAAGAACGGAGUUAUCACUAACAGUUAAGAAAUCUGUUUGUCACAUUAUAUUACAGGAACACAAGGUCAGAAUCUUGUCCGUUUUGCCGGGGAAGUUUAAAGAGAGUUAACUCAGGUGAUUUGUGGGUUCUAACAAGCAGUAGUGAUGUGAUUGAUGCACAAACCGCGUACAGAGAAGAUAUUCUGUGCCUCUAUCUCUUUGUAAAUAACCUGCCAGAACAUAUUCCUGAUGCUCUUUUCUUUAUGUAUUAUGAGUACUUAUUUUAAUUGAAGAAUAUGUACAGGAGAGAAAAAUGACAGCCAACAGUGUACAGAAUCCUGUCAAUUUUCUUGAUUAUUUGUUUGUAUAUUACUCAGUGAUAACACUCUUGCAUAUAAUAUAUCACUUAUAGUGUUUAUCAAGAUAUCAUUAGAAAAUGAGGUGACUGUUUGCUUUUAACAGAAAUGUCAUAUGUAUAAACAACUUCCAUCCUUGCAUAGUCUUGGAGAGAAUGGAGAAAAUCCUCAUUACCCUAUACAUAUGUUAGGCUUCUAAAUUAUAGACUUAUAGUCAUAAUAUUAUUAGUGGCAUGGGCGUUUGGGUCUGGGUUGGAUGUUGUCAUUGGGUUCGGGUUUGGUUUUAUCUAUCUGUGUUAGUGUUAGUCCUGUUUGGCCGAGUCUGUUUUAUCAUUUGAGUUGUGCCUGUUUUGGGCCAGAGUUAAUUGAUUAGUAGGUUUAGAUUAGUAUAUUUAAGAGUACUCUCAUUGUUAACAAAAAAAAAAGCACUCUCAUUAUUAGCAUUUGAGUAUUGAGUUGUAAAAGGGUUUUACCCUUGGAAUGGAUUUUCCCUUGGAAGAAGGUUCGCCUUCUUGGGUUCGUUUUCAAUAAAUUCUAGUGUUAUUUUAGAAAUUACUAUUUUCCCCUAUCCUUACUGUGUUUGGCUGUGAGGUUAUUUUCUAACCUAACAACAUGCAACACUACUCCUCAUCUUUACCUCUAUGUCUAUCAUAUCAACCAUUGGAUUAAUAUCCUUUCGUGCUAGCUCUCUCAUGUUGAAAUUUUGUGUCUAUCUCUCUCUUCAUACCUAUUCAAUAGGUUAGACCCUUUAAAUAUAUAUAUGAAAGGAUAUCCUAUAUGAAGAGAGAAAUAAACACAAUUUUUUCUUGACAUUGCCAUGUGAUAUAUAUGCUCAUCUCUUCAUAUGUAUCACCUAUUGUGCUAGGAUAAUUUCUCAUAAUAAAGCAAGACAAUACACAUUUUAUCUUAUCUAAUUAUAUGAUGACGGUGGCGUGGCACCAACGAUGUAAGCUUUCCUGCAUGUACCCACCCAUUGCCAUUUGGGAUAGGUAGUUGUGACUUUUGAUGCUUAAGCUAUUACUUACAAUUGCUUGUUGAAAAACACAUGCCAUGUCUGAAGUAUUGAAUCAUGAGAUGUUACUGUAUCAGAGUGCGGUAUUUAAAUCAUCGCACUUAUUGCUUUAUUAAGUAUGAUUGACACUUAACAAGAAUGGCCGCACCUGUUUUGGCAACUGGCAGUUUAUCUUCAUAAUGAGAGUGAAGAAGAGGGAGGAUGUACCCAUUUAUUAGGACCACUGGCUCAGACUAGCAUUGAAUGUUUUCCAGUUUCUUUAUUGGUGUGAUUUACAGUUUGUGGUGCUCCUCUUGUCCUUUUUUUUUAGUUUUACUCCACAACAAGAAGCAUGUGCUAAUUAAUGUUGAUCACCUUCUGCAGACUGCAAAAACCAAGCAGACUGGGGACGAAAUAAAAUGGAAUUCUGGAGUACUAAGUAUGGCAUGAAUUCAAUAGGUAGUUCUAGAUGCUUCAUUGCUUAAUUCCUCUCUUCAGAUCCACCUUCCAAGAGGCAGAAGCAGAUCCUCUGUCCCCUUUCCAUGACUCAUUUUUCUGACCCAUCAAUGAGAGCUUGCCAUAAAAGAUGGGGUGGUUACAAAUUUACAUGUGUAUCCUUUUUGCUAAUAUAUUAAAAUUUCAUUAUUGUGACAGACAAAUGAGACAUAAUUUGGGGAUAAGAGAUUUUAAUCCCAAAAAGCUAACUUAAUUAGGAUGAAGUCAGGCGACCAAGUCUAUCUUAUGGUAUGAGACUAUCCCUCAUUGUUGUAGCAUGAGAGGAGACAUGAAUAUAUAUUUUUUAUACACCGAAUCUUUCACCCAGAAUCCUAAGACAUUAGGUCAUGUCACAUUGUUGUUCAACACUUACUUUUUCAUCCAAUGUGUGAUGACUUCUUUAUGUACUUUUUUAAUUUCUUACUCACUUAAAGUCUCAAGUGCGUAGCUGUAUACACGGCGGAAAAUAAUAGUGAGGUUAAAAUUAUGGGAGACAGUCACAACAACUAACAACUAAGACCCUUUACAAUGGUUUGUUUAAUUUACUUACUUUCAACACCAUUUUUUCUCUUCCCAACACUCCACAUCAACUUCUCUCUCCAAUUCAACACUCAUUCAACUUUUACCCACUCCAAUGGUUUUUCAUUCAACACCAACACCCUACCCCACCACAUUUUUAUUUCAUAUUUUUAUUUAAUUUUAUAUUUUUAUUUUUAUGACUUACAUAAAAUUACAAUUAUCGAUUUAAAUUAAAUUAAAACAAUAAACCCUUAACAAUUAAAUUUUUUUUUUUAAAUAUAGACAAUAAUUUAUUUUAUUUCCUUAACUUAUUUUAUUUUAUUGUUGGGAUCUAUUUCAAAACAAAGGCUAAUAGAAAGAUAAUAAAAAUAGUGAAAAUUUUGGUUUUUUUUCUGUAUCCAAAUCAAACGAACCAAGUUUCUAUUUAUAGAGAAAAAAAAUCAUGAAUUUUGGUUAAAAAAAAAUUUCCAGAAAUUUUUUUUGCAAUGAAAUAAUUGAGUUCAAAAAAUUAAGAUGAUAAAAAUCCGGACAACGAACCAGAACGCGCCACGUGGCACCCUUAUCCCCUCUCAACAUUGUUGAGAACUCUCAACACUUCUCUCCUCCACCUCAUCUUCAACAAACCUCAACCAACCACUACACACCCUCAACAAAAUUCAACCCCCUCUCAACAAACCAUUGUAUUUGGUAAGGGAAGUUGUAUCCAAAUAUGCACUAAAAAUAUAUGUUUAGGAUUCUUCAUUUUUCACCAAUCUGACUUUCUUUCUGAGAAUCUCUCUAGUUUAAGAUAUAGCUAUGGGAAUUGGGAAAUGAAACAAAUACAACGAGUUCUAGUAAAAAGAUAAAAUAUGAUUCUCUCACAAGUAGUUACGCUAGCAAACGCAUAAACGCCAUAAGAACAAGCAAACUCCUAACAUGAUUCUUCUUGGGUGAACCAUUCACCCCUGACUCUGUUUUCUUUCCAACAAAAAAUUAAAAGGAGGUUGGGUGAAGUUUCCUUGAAGAAACAUUUCAGAAACAGCCUUAUACAUGGCUUCUGUGAGAUGAACACCAUCCCAGUUAAUGUGUUGGGAAGGGCUUGUGCAAACCGUGGCAUUAGGCGUGCCGCAUGUGGCGAAAAUGCUGAAAUUGUAAGGUGGAUCUCCUGAUCCACAGCAGACUUCAAACACCUCUUUGAAUCCAUACUUGCUUGGAUUCUUCAUAACAGCGCGGUAGGCGUUCCAGUAAUCAGCAUAAACUAUGGUGGCAUUUGGGUACUGCUUCCUGAAUUCCUGUAAUUUGGCUUGCAGCACAAGGUUGUGAGUGUAGCUUUGGUUGUUGACACUUUUCACACAUCCAAUGUCAUCCCUGUCAUCUUCAGAAGCCAGAUACAUAGCCAGUGGCAAGCACCCAGUUAGUGGCAAACCCUGCACAACUAGGUAUUUUGCACCCUUCUGAAGCAAUGUCUGCAAGUCAAAGAAUGAAAACAGUGAAUGAAACUAUAUAAUUUAGGGUUAUCUACAUAGUUUGUCCUUAUAAUGCUUGAUUAUGGUCCCUGUCGUUUCAAUUACUCAAAUUAAGCCGCACUCUCAAAAUUGAGUAAAUUUUGUCCAGAUGUAUGUUAACUUAUCAUCCAAUAACUAACGGAGAAAAUGGAUAUGUAUUACAAAUUUUGAUGUGAAAAGUGACAUAAAUCGUCUUAAAAUGUCAUUCAUGUUAAGAAGUGGUGGUUCAUAUCAACUUAUUUCGUUAAUUAUUGGAUGGCAAGUUAACAUAUGGAUCAAAUUUGUUCUACAUUGAAAGUAGGAAGACUUAAUUUGAGCAAUUGAAUUUAUAGGGACUGAAAUCAUGCAUUCGUGAAACUAUAUGUACAAAAAAUGUAAUGUAACAAUAUAAUUCAUUCAUUUUACUCUUCAUGGAUUCACAUGGAGAUAAGAUAAUUCUAUGCUUUGAAGUUAUGUUUUUGAUUUUGAAUUUGAGUUUGAACUACUUUUUGUGUUGGCUAUAAAUAUUAUUUAUUACCUGUAAAGCUCCUGAGACUGUGCUUAUUGCAAGCUUCCUUAUGGUGUCACCUGAGACUGAAGAUCCAAGAGUGUAGGCAUAGUCAUUGACUCCAAUCUCACCAAACCAAAAAAGAGUGUCAUCAAAAUCUUUACACUUUGAUUCCACUCCUAUACACUUUUGGCUCUCUAGGUACCUGUUAAACCACAGCAUCUGUGUUUGGAUGCUCUGAGGAGUGAUGUCAAGGGAAAGGUUGUUCAUGACAAAGAACAUAUGGUUUAUUGCUGUGGAACCAGCAACAGCAAAGUUCACACCAAAAGUACUGUCAUUGCUUUUUUUGCUGUGACGGUAAGGUUGAAGGUACGGCAAGGAAAGUGAUUCUGUUACAAAGUCAAUCACAAGCCUUCCAUCACAGUACCUAUUGGUGGAAUGGUUGAAGAAAGUGGUGCCGUAGGGAGAGUUUGAUACAUGGCCAAAGCCGCUAGGACCUUCAGCGUUCUUGGUGUUGCCGGUGUCCGUGAAGGAGUCGCCGAAGGCGUAUAUCUUGUUGAAGGGUCUUGCUGCUGGGUCCUCCUGAUGCACAGUUGC
rnacentral:lncRNA from 1 species